UUAAGCGACUAAGCGUACACGGUGGAUGCCCUGGCAGUCAGAGGCGAUGAAGGGCGUGCUAAUCUGCGAUAAGCGCCGGUAAGGUGAUAUGAACCGUUAUAACCGGCGAUACCCGAAUGGGGAAACCCAGUGUGACUCGUCACACUAUCAUUAACUGAAUCCAUAGGUUAAUGAGGCGAACCGGGGGAACUGAAACAUCUAAGUACCCCGAGGAAAAGAAAUCAACCGAGAUUCCCCCAGUAGCGGCGAGCGAACGGGGAGGAGCCCAGAGCCUGAAUCAGCAUGUGUGUUAGUGGAAGCGUCUGGAAAGGCGCGCGAUACAGGGUGACAGCCCCGUACACAAAAGCGCAUGUGCUGUGAGCUCGAUGAGUAGGGCGGGACACGUGGUAUCCUGUCUGAAUAUGGGGGGACCAUCCUCCAAGGCUAAAUACUCCUGACUGACCGAUAGUGAACCAGUACCGUGAGGGAAAGGCGAAAAGAACCCCGGCGAGGGGAGUGAAAAAGAACCUGAAACCGUGUACGUACAAGCAGUGGGAGCACAGGUUUACCUGUGUGACUGCGUACCUUUUGUAUAAUGGGUCAGCGACUUAUAUUCUGUAGCAAGGUUAACCGAAUAGGGGAGCCGGAGGGAAACCGAGUCUUAAUUGGGCGUUAAGUUGCAGGGUAUAGACCCGAAACCCGGUGAUCUAGCCAUGGGCAGGUUGAAGGUUGGGUAACACUAACUGGAGGACCGAACCGACUAAUGUUGAAAAAUUAGCGGAUGACCUGUGGCUGGGGGUGAAAGGCCAAUCAAACCGGGAGAUAGCUGGUUCUCCCCGAAAGCUAUUUAGGUAGCGCCUCGUGAAUUCAUCUCCGGGGGUAGAGCACUGUUUCGGCUAGGGGGCCAUCCCGGCUUACCAACCCGAUGCAAACUGCGAAUACCGGAGAAUGUUAUCACGGGAGACACACGGCGGGUGCUAACGUCCGUCGUGAAGAGGGAAACAACCCAGACCGCCAGCUAAGGUCCCAAAGUCAUGGUUAAGUGGGAAACGAUGUGGGAAGGCCCAGACAGCCAGGAUGUUGGCUUAGAAGCAGCCAUCAUUUAAAGAAAGCGUAAUAGCUCACUGGUCGAGUCGGCCUGCGCGGAAGAUGUAACGGGGCUAAACCAUGCACCGAAGCUGCGGCAGCGAACGUAUCACUUAAAGCGAUUCAGCGGGUUACGAUUGACGGAGCGAAGCGACGUCAAAGCGUAUACAAAGUCGAGUCGGUUUAAGGAUACGUUCGUUGGGUAGGGGAGCGUUCUGUAAGCCUGUGAAGGUGGCCUGUGAGGGUUGCUGGAGGUAUCAGAAGUGCGAAUGCUGACAUAAGUAACGAUAAAGCGGGUGAAAAGCCCGCUCGCCGGAAGACCAAGGGUUCCUGUCCAACGUUAAUCGGGGCAGGGUGAGUCGACCCCUAAGGCGAGGCCGAAAGGCGUAGUCGAUGGGAAACGGGUUAAUAUUCCCGUACUUGGUGUUACUGCGAAGGGGGGACGGAGAAGGCUAUGUUGGCCGGGCGACGGUUGUCCCGGUUUAAGCGUGUAGGUGUGUGUUCCAGGUAAAUCCGGUUCACUUUAACACUGAGGCGUGAUGACGAGGCACUACGGUGCUGAAGCAACAAAUGCCCUGCUUCCAGGAAAAGCCUCUAAGCAUCAGGUAACAUCAAAUCGUACCCCAAACCGACACAGGUGGUCAGGUAGAGAAUACCAAGGCGCUUGAGAGAACUCGGGUGAAGGAACUAGGCAAAAUGGUGCCGUAACUUCGGGAGAAGGCACGCUGACACGUAGGUGAAGUGAUUUACUCACGGAGCUGAAGUCAGUCGAAGAUACCAGCUGGCUGCAACUGUUUAUUAAAAACACAGCACUGUGCAAACACGAAAGUGGACGUAUACGGUGUGACGCCUGCCCGGUGCCGGAAGGUUAAUUGAUGGGGUCAGCGCAAGCGAAGCUCCUGAUCGAAGCCCCGGUAAACGGCGGCCGUAACUAUAACGGUCCUAAGGUAGCGAAAUUCCUUGUCGGGUAAGUUCCGACCUGCACGAAUGGCGUAAUGAUGGCCAGGCUGUCUCCACCCGAGACUCAGUGAAAUUGAACUCGCUGUGAAGAUGCAGUGUACCCGCGGCAAGACGGAAAGACCCCGUGAACCUUUACUAUAGCUUGACACUGAACAUUGAGCCUUGAUGUGUAGGAUAGGUGGGAGGCUUUGAAGUGUGGACGCCAGUCUGCAUGGAGCCGACCUUGAAAUACCACCCUUUAAUGUUUGAUGUUCUAACGUGGACCCGUAAUCCGGGUUGCGGACAGUGUCUGGUGGGUAGUUUGACUGGGGCGGUCUCCUCCUAAAGAGUAACGGAGGAGCACGAAGGUUGGCUAAUCCUGGUCGGACAUCAGGAGGUUAGUGCAAUGGCAUAAGCCAGCUUGACUGCGAGCGUGACGGCGCGAGCAGGUGCGAAAGCAGGUCAUAGUGAUCCGGUGGUUCUGAAUGGAAGGGCCAUCGCUCAACGGAUAAAAGGUACUCCGGGGAUAACAGGCUGAUACCGCCCAAGAGUUCAUAUCGACGGCGGUGUUUGGCACCUCGAUGUCGGCUCAUCACAUCCUGGGGCUGAAGUAGGUCCCAAGGGUAUGGCUGUUCGCCAUUUAAAGUGGUACGCGAGCUGGGUUUAGAACGUCGUGAGACAGUUCGGUCCCUAUCUGCCGUGGGCGCUGGAGAACUGAGGGGGGCUGCUCCUAGUACGAGAGGACCGGAGUGGACGCAUCACUGGUGUUCGGGUUGUCAUGCCAAUGGCACUGCCCGGUAGCUAAAUGCGGAAGAGAUAAGUGCUGAAAGCAUCUAAGCACGAAACUUGCCCCGAGAUGAGUUCUCCCUGAGACUUAGAGUCUCCUGAAGGAACGUUGAAGACGACGACGUUGAUAGGCCGGGUGUGUAAGCGCAGCGAUGCGUUGAGCUAACCGGUACUAAUGAACCGUGAGGCUUAACCUU
rnacentral:rRNA from 1 species